CCCUUGCUAUGCACUGUGGCAUCUUCCCUAGUCCUUGAAUAGCAUCUCACACCAUACACUAUGCCUUUCCUGAGUUGGCCUUAUCCAACAGCACUGCUCUUAGAUCUGGGGUCCCAUCCUGGUUGGGGCACCUGGAGAUACCCACUCCUAUAUCUUUCAUUUCUGGUCCAAUCCCAGAGUGGCAGCUCCUUCCAAUGCCCAUAUUGUUCCAGCAAUGAGGCUUCUAUCCCAGGACCCAGAAUUCCAUGCCUCUACUGAGCAUCUGCCCAUAAGGUCAAGGAGCUGCCAACGAACAGCUUAGGAGCCAUGCUUGGACCACUCUUACCCUUCCACUGUGAACACGCAAUUCCUAUGAUCUCUACCAGACACCGAUGGGGUCUGUCCUAGGGAUGACGACGAGUGAGCAGCAGAUUGGAUGGGCCAGAUGCAGGACUAGUUCUUACUGAAUGAAUAAAGGAUCUGACAGACAGUGUCCCUCUGAGAAUAGAAGCUACAUCUUAAAAUCGGAGACCAAUGGGACACAAGAAGGCUUAGGACCAGAGCAGAUUUGUCCAGGACAGCAACAUGGAGCCCUUACUGCUCCUGAUAUGCGGAGAGUCCCCUCCCCUUUCUCAGAUCCCUCUUGGCACCCCCACACUUGCCUAGUCUUCUCUGCAAAUAGAUGUGGCUACACACGAGAACUUUUGCCCUAGAACUACAGGACUCUACAGGAGAUAAAAGGCAUGGACUGCGUCUGCAUUAUCUCUGCACCACUUUCUUGUUCCCUGGAAUGUCAAAGCAGUUCUCUCUUCCUGUGUUGGCACAGCCAGGGCACCCAAUGUCCCCUGCAAGCUGCUCAUGAGCACCUGCCUCCCAUGUUGACAAGAUGUACCCAGUCCUGCACAAUAACUGGUACAGGGAAUUCAAAGCUAAGCAAGCCUCUGCUGGUGCCGCAUGCUCAGACGUUCCUUCUCAGAACCGUGGACAUUUGUGCUUGCUCUGGAGCUUGUUCCCAGGAAAAGUUAAUGAAACAUGAUGGGUUUCUUGAAAUUCUACCCGCAGAUGUCAGCGGCGUAGGGUGUUCAGAGCACUCUGUACAAGUCCUCCUGGGAUCUAGGGUGGUGUAGCUCUUCCUUGGAGAAAAGAACACACGGGGCAGAAGAAGCAAAUGCCACUUCCUCUACUGUAGUCUGCUUCUGACUGUGCCAUCCUGCCUCUCAUUGCGUGACCUUGUCUGUCGUCAGUGGCUGUGGCCUCCUGAAUGGGCUCCUGUAGAUUUGUGCCCCAUCUUCAAGUCAGAGUCAGAAAAGGCAUUGUUCUCACCCAAUGGGUCCUGAGUUCACCCAAGCACCUCAGAGGGCAGGUGAACAGCCUGAGGUCCAGAGAACAUUCUGUAACAAUUUGCAGCAAUAACGGUAACCACAUUCUGUAACAAUUUGCAGCAAUAACAGUAACCACCGUAUCCUUUCUGCGAAAGAACCUUACUUUG
rnacentral:lncRNA from 1 species